UGCAACUGAUGUAAAGAAUAUUUGCUAUCUGAUGUCGUGCUGACCAAUCACCAAGAUCGCUGAUGCA